GACGAACGCUGGCGGCGUGCCUAAUACAUGCAAGUUGAGCGCUGAAGGUUGGUACUUGUACCGACUGGAUGAGCAGCGAACGGGUGAGUAACGCGUGGGGAAUCUGCCUUUGAGCGGGGGACAACAUUUGGAAACGAAUGCUAAUACCGCAUAAAAACUUUAAACACAAGUUUUAAGUUUGAAAGAUGCAAUUGCAUCACUCAAAGAUGAUCCCGCGUUGUAUUAGCUAGUUGGUGAGGUAAAGGCUCACCAAGGCGAUGAUACAUAGCCGACCUGAGAGGGUGAUCGGCCACAUUGGGACUGAGACACGGCCCAAACUCCUGCGGGAGGCAGCAGUAGGGAAUCUUCGGCAAUGGACGAAAGUCUGACCGAGCAACGCCGCGGGAGUGAAGAAGGUUUUCGGAUCGUAAAACUCUGUUGGUAGAGAAGAACGUUGGUGAGAGUGGAAAGCUCAUCAAGUGACGGUAACUACCCAGAAAGGGACGGCUAACUACGUG
rnacentral:rRNA from 1 species